rnacentral:siRNA from 1 species
AACAGGUGCAAUUCUACCGACCA